rnacentral:rRNA from 1 species
UGUUGCUGGCCUUUAAAAGCCGUGCACUCCUGCCUUUACAUCCACCUGUGCACUUGCUGUAGACUAGGAUUAACUUCCGGGUCUAUGUUUUCAUAUACCCCUUUAUUAUUGUCAUUGAAUGUAUUAAGGCUUCGGCCAAAAAAAAAACAAUACAACUUUCAACAAUGGAUCUCUUGGUUCUCGCAUCGAUGAAGAACGCAGCGAAUUGCGAUAUGUAAUGUGAAUUGCAGAAUUCAGUGAAUCAUCGAAUCUUUGAACGCACCUUGCGCCCUUUGGUACUCCGAAGGGCAUGCCUGUUUGAGUGUCAUUAAAUUCUCAACUUCAAAAUUCUUUUGUUUUGAAGCUUGGAUGUUGGAGGUAUUUGCAGGCAUGCAUUAGUGUCAGCUCCUCUUAAAUGCAUUAGCAGAACUUUGUACGUUCGGCUCUGGUUUGAUAAAUCCUAUCUAUGCCAUUGCUGAAAGGUCAAUAGAUCAGCUUCUAAUUGUCCAUGUAUUUGGACUGUCUCCUCGGAGGCAUCACCAUUGACUUGACCUCAAAUCAGGUAGGACUACCCGCUGAACUUAAGCAUAUCAAUAA